UCACAGAAGAGCUGAACUCUGAGAUGAUCUAGUGCACUACUCCUCCUGUAGGGUACGAGAUGGGGUUGAUGUUCGAGUGCACUAAAUAUUUGACACGGAAUUGUUGCAGAUUCCUCUCACGACUUCCUGUAGUGUAACUUUGUUUCUAACUCUGUGAUUUCGUGACUUUAUCAUUUUUGAAACAUUUUCACAUUGUAAUCGUGUACAUUUCCAACACCAACCUUUCAGCAGUAGAAUUUUUUUUACAUUAUAAUAUUUUUCACUUUAUAUUUUUUUAAAACAUUUUAACAUUAUCAUUUUGUAACAGUCUUUUGACUUAUUUCUACAUUCUCAGUAAUUCUAAGAAUAAUGCGAGUAAUUCUUUUUACGCAAUCUAAACAUUGUGAUCUUGUGACGUUUUUUUUUUUUACUUUUAAACACAAAUUUUGUAACAUUUUUACAUGAGUAAGUUAUUUUGUACAUUAUCAUUUUGUAACAUUGUUAUCUUUUACUUUAUAUUUUUUACAUUUUAAUUUGAUACAUUUUUAACAUUAGUAACUUUUAAAAACAUUUUCACCUCAUAAUUUGAAAAACUUUUUAGCAUUAGUGAAUCUUUACGGUUAUAAUUUUGUAACAUAGUGCCCCGUGGUGCUUCAUGUUUAUAAUCUAAACUCUAAUAAUCUAUAGGAAGAGGGAAAUAAAGAGACUCAAAGCGGAGACACAAACUGGAACUCGUUUCAGAAAACCCGCAGCUGUACGUUUCCGCUGUAAAACUGCACGAACAACUGAACCAUUAUUUAUUGAUUGAUUUUUAAUAGAGAUGAUUUCAAGUUUUUUUUUUUUUUUUUUUUUUUUUUUUUUUAAGCUGAGAGCAACAAGGUGAUGUUCCUAAAUCUCUUAUUUCCACCCCCCCCCCCACCCCCCACCCCCCCACACACACACACACCGAUUUGCUCCAUUUCCAAUAAACCCCGGCUAUACUACAGUAUUUAAAGACACUGUCCACCUGUCACGCUAUAAAACGCAGAGAGACGUCUCAGGGAGACAGAACAUCACUAGGUAGUGCGCACUACAGCAGCGUUGAAGAGACAGAAGGACGCUUACCGUUGGUGGAGUGUAGACUUUCUAGGCUCCAGUAAUGAGACAUGACCCCUCGUAUCGCUUUCACCCCCCUAAUGACUCCCAAAUCUGCUGCUGUGUCUGCAUUCGGCCACACACACACACACACACACACACACACACACACACACACACAGUCGAGGAAGAAGAGGAGGGCGGCUGCUCUUCAAGCUGGUACAGACUCCAGACAAAUGUGUGUGUGUGUGUGUGUGUGUGUGCGCGCGCGUGUGUGUGCGUGCGUGCGUGUGUAUGUGAGAGCGAAUCACAACCUCCACUGGUAAAUUUCAAGCGUCAGAAACACUCACGAUGUCGCCUGCAUCCUUCCUACACUCGCUCACAGACUGAAACACACAUGAUCGAGCCUCUCCCUCUCUCUCUGGCUCCCUCUCGCUUUCACACACACACACUCACACACACACACACACACUCACAGCAUCAACAGGGAGCCACUGAGGAGACGCGGACACACGAUUUACACAAGCUUAAGUUCAAGCUCGACUUGCCAACCCUGAAUAUUAAUAUAGAAUACUGAAUGAGAGAUGAUACGCACACGUUUAUUAAAAUAAAAGAAGACAUUUUUAAUGAUUAGAAAGGGAACUGGCUGGCGAUGAAAAAAGACCGUCUUCAUCCGUGCAUCACAGUCCCCCCGUACUGACCCCCUUCAGUGCUGUUACUCAAACCGAGGAGAGAAUUCAACCCGCACGUCCGAGUGCACUUAUUUAUCCACUACAGGUUCAUCCCUGAACACGUCUAGUGCACGUCUAAGCGUGUAGAAGACAGUCACACGUGCACACGUGCCUGGAGAAAAAAGCCGUUUCUGUAAGCAGUGUCAACAAUUCAUACAUCACCCACUGCACUCGUACAGGAGUGACAAAGAGCUUCCUGCAGAACGUCUCCACUACGCAGGGUUCGGAACCCACGUCCUACAGGGCUGAAGAGGUUCUGCAACGCCUCACUGAACACCUCGCGCACUAGCGCAGGGCGAAUCCCGUCAUCUGCUCAUUUAUCACAGCGUCAGAAGCUCACGCGGGUUUUAAUUAACGCUUAACGAGUAAACUAUUCCAAUUAAGAUUCAAUCAAAUGUAACGCUAUAAAACUGACACUAACUCCAAAAAUAAACACCAUAAACCUGUAAACAGAACAAAUAUUAGCAUUUUAUUCCUCUUUAUAAUACGAUUGUAACAUUGUAAUUCAUUUAAAUUCAUUUACUUACUCAAGCCGCAUACUGUACACCACAAAAUUAUGACUUUUACAUCCUAUAUAUAUAUAUAUAUAUAAAUAAAACAGACAGACAGAUGGAUAAAUUAGACAGACAGAAGAACAGAGUCGUGUACAGCGGUGCUGGAAAGUUUGUUUGAAAGAAUUUGACAUUUCUGCAUAAAUCUGAUCUAAAACAUGAUCAGAUUUUCACACGAGUCCUGAAAGUAGAUAAAGAACCCGAUUAAACAACAAUAUUAUACUUGUUCAUUUAUUUAUCGAGGAAAGUGAUCCAGUAUUACAGAUCUGUGAGGAGUAAAAGUAUGUGCACCUCUAGGAUUAUCAGUUAAUGUGAAGGUGAGAUUGGAGUCCGGUGUUUUCAGUCAGUGGGAUGAUGAUCAGGUGUGUGUGAGUGAGCGAGCGAGCGAGCGUCCUGUUUUAUUUAAAGAACAGGGAUCUAUCAGAGUCUGAUCUUCACGACACGUGUCUGCGGAAGUGGAUCACGGCACGAGCGAAGGAGAUUUCCGAGGACCUCAGGGAAAGAGUUGUCGAAGCUCAUCAGGAUGGAAAAUGUCACAGAACCAUCUGUAAAGAGUUUGGACUCCACCCAUCCACAGCCAGACAGAUCGUGUAGAAACGGAGGAAAUUCACCACCAUCGUUCCCCUCCACAGGAGUGGAGACCAACGAAGAUCUCUCCAAGAGCCAGACGUGGAAUCGUCCACCAGGUCACAGAGGAACCCAGGGGAACUCCUCUCACACUGGCUAAUGUUAACGUUCAUGAGUCCACCAUCAGGAGAACACUGAACACCAAUGGAGUGCAUGUCAGGGCUGCGAGGAGAAAACCACCGCUCUCCAAAAAGAACAUUUCUGUCCUUCUGCAGUUUGAAAACGAUCACGCGGACGAGACGGAAGACCGAUGGAAAAAUAUUCUGUGGAUGGAUGAAUAGACCAAAAGAGAACUUUUUGGUUUAAAUGAGAAGCAUUGUGUUUGAAGAAAGGUGCACAUACUUUUACUCCGCACAGAUCUGUGAUAUCGGAUCAUUUCCCUCAAUAAAUAAAUGAACAAGUAUAAUAUUUUCAUCUCGUUUGUUUAAUCGGGUUCUCCUUAUCAUCUUUUAGGACUUGUGUGAAAAUCUGAUGAUGUUUUACGUCAUUUAUGCAGAAAUUUCUUAAAUUCCAAAGGGUUCACAAACUUUCAAGCACCACUGUAGUUAUCAGACAUUAAUUUAAAAGGUUUAUUUACUUGUGUUCAACAUUCAGGAGGAAACCAUGAAGCUAAUUAUCUCAUUAUUAUUAUUAUAGUUAAAUAAACCUGUCCCGACCCUCUUAACAUGAGCGUGUCUCUUUAAAUAAUCGGCACUUUUAAAUGACAGGAUUUUUUUGUUUAGAUUACUAAACAGCAGUCAUUUUUUUAAAUGUUAAAAUUAGUUUCUCUGAGCGGAGCUUUAAAAGGCCUAAAAAUCCUCUGUUAAUUUAAUAAUGAUUAUUUUUCGAGUUUAUUUGAGAACCUGAGGCAAGAGCAUCAGAAAAAAACACUAAAAAUCAUUUAUAAAUUAGUUUAAAAACAGGUGACUGACCAAAACUGAGCAAAAACAUGAAAGAAGAGAAGAAUAAAAAAGUAAAACAUGAUAUUAUGACACUGCUGAGACGUGAGACAAGGGACGUCUGAGAGUUCACGUGAGCGUAGAAAGAAACUCGUCGCGUGAUGAUGAUGUCACAGCGCUUUUCCUGUUUUCUCUCUCUGUGAUUUCCCCAACAGCAGCUGCUGGAUAAACUCUGUACCAUCGCACAAUUUAAAGAACGUUUACUCACCGAGAGCGGCCGGCUGCGCGAGUGUGUGCUCUGAAGGUCGGACGAGACACGACUCUGCAGACAGAAACAUGAGCGUGUCACUUCCUUUCACUUCAGUAAUUACUCUCCCUCACUCUUCCACACACACUCGGAGUCACAGAGAACAGCUAAGAGACGAGUGUGACGUGUGUUAGCUGUGUGCUAGCUGUGUCUUAACCGUGCCCUAGCUGUGUGUUAGCCAUGCGCUAGCCGUGUGUUAACCGUGCGCUAGCUGUGUGUUAGCCGUGCGCUAGCUGUGUGUUAGCCGUGCGCUAGCUGUGUGUUAGCCAGGUGCUAGCACAGUGAUGUGAAAGGAUCAGCUCACUGUGCUGCGUCCAUAAAGGUCACGGUGUGGGACAGAAAUGUUACACAGCAAUAAUGGACUUCUUGUUUCUUCUCAAAGGAGCCUGUAUUUCAUCCAAUAUUCACUAACACACACACACACACACACACACACACACACACACACACACACACACACACACACACACGCCUACAGAAGUGUUUACACAUGGACAGAAUGACAGGCCUAGAUCAACAGAGAAUCAGACAGAGAGAGAGACACUGACUCAAGACAGAUAGACAGAGCAACAGUGAGACAGAUAGAAAGAACAGAUAUACAGUUAGACACAGACUGUUAGACAGCCAAAAUAAACAGAGAGACAGUUAUACAGACAGACAGACAGACAGAUAGUAAGAUAGAGAGACAGACAGGCAGAUAAACAGACAGAAAUUUAGACACAGAGAGAGAGAGAGAGAGAAACAGACCGAAUACUUGGAAAAACACAUUACACGUGCACGCACGCACACACACACACACACACACACACACACACACACACACACACACCAGUGUUUAAAAGUUUUGUUUAAAGUCAUCGUCGCCCCCUACAGGACAAUCAGUGUGACACAGUUGAUAUUAAUUAUGUUUUAUGAUGAUUAUAUAGAAACAUCGCAUCACUAAUAUCGCCAAAAUAAAUAAAUAAAAAGAAAUAAAAAUCAGAUUACAGAAAUAAACAAUAACAAAUUCUUGAUUUAUAUCUAAAAAAAAAAACACCACGACUUUAUUUUCAUGAAUGUCCCAGACUACAGGAGCGUACUGCUGAAACAUCAGAGCUUUAAUAACAGUGGAGUGUGACGUGUCAGCACAACGCCUCGGCAACCCCACAGUCUAAUAUUAAGUGCAACUGAACGUAUCGCUCACUCGGUCCUCACCUGAGAAUGAAACUGGGCGUGGCCAGUGGAGACAGUCCAGUCCAAUCGGACUCAUCUGAGCACGAUCUCUUCUGCGCCUUAGCCGUCCAAUUAUCUGUGACGUUCCUCUCCUGAAUCGCACCGGCCGCCGUCUCUCCGAUUUCCCGCAGAGGUAAAGUCCAGCUGCAGAGGUCAGAGACCGGUCUGGGUCGGACCACACGCCGAUCGCGUCUUCUGACACGGAGCACGGACGAAGAUGACUGGAGAGAUGAUGUACCACC
ensembl:lncRNA